rnacentral:rRNA from 1 species
AGCGAACGCUGGCGGCAGGCCUAACACAUGCAAGUCGAACGAACUCUUCGGAGUUAGUGGCGGACGGGUGAGUAACACGUGGGAACGUGCCUUUAGGUUCGGAAUAACUCAGGGAAACUUGUGCUAAUACCGAAUGUGCCCUUCGGGGGAAAGAUUUAUCGCCUUUAGAGCGGCCCGCGUCUGAUUAGCUAGUUGGUGAGAUAAAGGCUCACCAAGGCGACGAUCAGUAGCUGGUCUGAGAGGAUGAUCAGCCACAUUGGGACUGAGACACGGCCCAAACUCCUACGGGAGGCAGCAGUGGGGAAUCCUGCGCAAUGGGCCAAAACCUGACGCAGCCAUGCCGGGUUAAUGAUGAAGGUCUUUGGAAUGUAAAAUUCUUUCACCCGGGACGAUAAUGACGGUAACCGGAGAAGGAGCCCCGGCUAACUUCGUG